UCUUUCCGUUUUCUUCCAUCUCCUCACGACCCGACCUGGUCGUUCGUCCCCAACCUCUUGUCCAACGCAGGGAACGAACCAGCGCCCCACUCACCCCGUCUGACUCCUCCCCUCCUUCCCGUCGCCUUAAUUCCGCUCUGAACGGAUUCCUCACACCCUCCCUAACUCUUAACCUUCCGUUACCCGCACUAGAACGAGCCCUAAUGGCCAUUAGAGCACCAGAAACAACAGCUAUAACUCCGACGACGCCCUGUGUCAUUUCGACCUUCCCUGCAUCCUAUAAAAGGUCCCCUCCCCUCACAACUCUCUCCUUGCCCGAAACCCUCUCCUUCGGGAGCUUAUAACCCUACUCAUCGUCGUGAAUUGCUCACCGGAGUUGCCUGACACUGCUGCUGUUCGUGGAAGGUUCCGGCGAGUUCGAGCCGGAGCACGAGUUCUUCGUUGUCUGAUUUCGGCCGGGGUUGCGCCCAACUCCGGCGACAUCUAGCAGCCACCAGAAGGCAAAGCAGGAGCCGACGUCGUGUCCUGGAGACUCACCCCGACUUCCUCUCCCUCGUCCACUUCUCUACCAUUGCCGGAGACCGCCGUGUCGCUUCACGUCCGAGCCACCGUCACCGGCCAUCUCCAUCUCCGAUUGUGACGAGUGUGAAGGUGAAUUCUACGAGGAGGUAGAACCGUGUUGCUGCGAGUCAGAAG